GAAAAAAGAUUAGAUGAAUGGCUAACUAGAAUAAACAGCGUAGAGAAGACCUUAAAUGACCUGACAGAGCCGAAAACCAUGGUGCAAGAACUAUGUGACGCAUGCAUAAACUUCAAUAGCCGAUUCAAUCAAGUGGAAGAAAGGAGCCAAAAUGACCUGUUGCAGGUUCAGACACCAGCACCCUGACAGAAACAACUGGUCUACAGCACAGGGAGAGGUGCGGACAGGGCUGCGGAGGAAGCCCCGGACUCCGAGGAGAGAACACAGCCUGUGAGGACUCCCUUGCACCCUGGGCCACAUCAGGGCACUCGGGCUUCACUGCAAGCUUCUGUGGCUCUCACCUGCCAGCAUCCCUGCCCCAUCCUGGUAGCUGCACCAUGGGCCCUUCAAGGAACCCCCUCUCUGCUGGGUCCAGGUAGAUGAGACAAUCGGGGCAGUCUCCCUUCUGGGGUAGGCCCGAGGCUCCGAGGCCUGGGCUGGACAGGUCAGCAUGCGCCCCUCCCCCAGUGUGCUUGGCACAGGACUGAGACCCACAUCAGGCUCACAUGACUCAGAGGCAGAGCCAACCUCCCACUGGGUCUGCUGACUGCAGGGGGUGACUUGGAGUUGCCUAGGACCAUCACAGGCUGAGUGAGGAUGUGGCCAGUUCAGAGACAGCAGAGCCAUGAAAGGGGCAACUCGCCAGGCAGCCCUGAUCUGUCGAGUCAGGAGGGCCAAGGAAUCCCCACUUUUGCUUGUCACUUUGACUUCAUUUUCUGCUGUCUGCAUCAGAAAGUUCUAGCAAGUACACCUACCGGCCAGGACAGAGCUCCUCUGGGGUUCUUUAGGCGUCAGCUGCUAAAGGACCCCACAAACCACAUGGAGGAGGCCACAGGACAGGUCCCCAGGUGGGUGGGGCUUCCCCUGUCACACUGAUGGCCGCACCCCACCCCUCCACCCUGCACGGCCUGAACCCUUGCUGUCCUAUGGAAACACAGGGUGAGUCCACAUGCAGUUCCGCAUUUACCAGGAGCCACGCUAGAAAAGCAGAAGUAGCUGAAAUGCAGACUUAACCUUAUAUUUUAUUUAACCCAACAUAUCCAAAAUCUUAUUUCAACAAGUCUUCUACGUAAAAAAUUAUUCAUGAGCUGCCCCGCCUCACAUAGCCCUUUGUCCUCUGAGAACGUCAAGAAAGGCAGAGGCUGAACAGGGAGGCUUCACCCGCAGGGUCCAGCUCACUGGGGGAAGCUAUGCUGGCCCCAAGGGACUUACACAAUGAAAAGAUGAAAUUCUGAAACAAAGUAUCUACACUAGCCCAGAGAACUUAAAAAGUGAAAGGAUGAAAUUCUGAAACAAAGUAUCUUUAGGACGUAGAUACCACUCAGUACUGAGAAAGACCUGGCUACUGCUGUCAGCACAGGGACCCCUGGGGGCUGGAGAGCCCGCUCUGGAAAGCACUCACUGCACACAAAUAGACAUAUGAGAUGGAAAAGGGGCUGCCCAGGGCUGAGGGCUGUCACCCCUGGGUGGGGAAAUUAUGGAUGGUGUCUGUUAUCUUUUCAGGUAUAUAUGCUAAAAAACCAUUAAUUCAAUAAAAUUGUUCAGUGAGA